rnacentral:tRNA from 1 species
UCCCAGGUAGCUCAGAUGGUAAAGAAUCUGCCUGUAAUGCAGGAGACCCGGGUUCAAUCCCUGGGUCAGGAA